ACUUUGCCUCAGGAAGCUCACCCAGCUCCACUUUAGGGGAUGGCAGAAUGGCGAAUACAUUAAAAAAAAAAAAAAAAAAAAGCUCUAGAGGAAGGCAGAAGAAUCCUAACAUUUGGGAGGUGGAGGCAGGAAGAUCAGUUUAAGGUCAUCCUUGGACCAACUUGCAAAAAGAAAAAAAAAAUAAGAAGAAGAAAAAGAAAGAAAACGAAAUAUUCACCUCAAGAGACAUAGGCAUUGUGGAGAAGUCGAGAUAGGAUUGGGAACAGCUGGUCAUACCCACAGUCAAGAACAGAGAGAGAAUGAACAUAUGGCUGCCCGGGUGUGCAGGACCCCAGACUUAGGGGAUGGUACCGCCCACAGAUUUCUCUGUGUCCUGGAACUCAUGCUGUAGACCAGAGUGGUCGUGAACUCAGAAACCUGCCUACCUCUGCCUCCUGAGUGCUGGGAUUAAAGGCAUGCUCCACCACCGCCAUAACAAUCAAAAUUUAACCUCCACAACUGUAUGUGUUUGCCUACCCAGCAGGGGAUGGACAUUUGGAAUAGAACUAAGAAGGAACUAACAGGUUAUACGCUCGCUAUCAGCAAGAAAAUCUUAGAACAACAUGCCAAUACGC
rnacentral:lncRNA from 1 species